AUUGAACGCUGGCGGCAUGCUUUACACAUGCAAGUCGAACGGCAGCGCGGGCUUCGGCCUGGCGGCGAGUGGCGAACAGGUGAGUAAUGCAUCGGAACGUGCCCAGUAGUGGGGGAUAGCCCGGCGAAAGCCGGAUUAAUACCGCAUACGACCUGAGGGUGAAAGCGGGGGACCGAAAGGCCUCGCGCUAUUGGAGCGGCCGAUGUCGGAUUAGCUAGUUGGUGGGGUAAAGGCUUACCAAGGCGACGAUCCGUAGCUGGUCUGAGAGGACGACCAGCCACACUGGGACUGAGACACGGCCCAGACUCCUACGGGAGGCAGCAGUGGGGAAUUUUGGACAAUGGGGGCAACCCUGAUCCAGCCAUGCCGCGUGCGGGAAGAAGGCCUUCGGGUUGUAAACCGCUUUUGUUCGGGAAGAAAUCCUCUGGGCUAAUACCCCGGGGGGAUGACGGUACCGGAAGAAUAAGCACCGGCUAACUACGUG
rnacentral:rRNA from 1 species